rnacentral:rRNA from 1 species
UACGUAGGGGGCAAGCGUUUUCCGGAAUCAUUGGGCGUAAAGCGCGUGUAGGCGGCCCGAUAAGUCCGCUGUGAAAGUCCAGGGCUCAACCCUGGGAUGCCGGUGGAUACUGUCGGGCUCGAGUCCGGAAGAGGCGAGUGGAAUUCCUGGUGUAGCGGUGAAAUGCGCAGAUAUCAGGAGGAACACCAAUGGCGAAGGCAGCUCGCUGGGACGUGACUGACGCUGAGACGCGAAAGCGUGGGGAGCAAACAGG